rnacentral:ncRNA from 1 species
UGAUUGGCGUUGAAGGAGAAGAGUACUACAAAUCGCCCCACCAGGGAGAAGGUGUCAUGACUGGAAGCACCUUUAGGUGUGCGAUUGUAGGAAGUUCGCUCUGGAGCUGUGCCUCGAACCCAGGUUUGGAUCUGGCAGUAAAGGUGACCGGUUCAUACCGUUAUCGUUGAAGGAGUGGGGCUAUUCCAGGCAUCGGGUGCUUGGAUGGCCCAACCAGGGUGGUACCACGAAUCUCUCGUCCCUCGG